AGCCUUCUGUAUCCGUGCUGAUAUUUCGUCACACACCAGACCACAAGGGCUGAUGAAACUCCCUAACCAAGCA
rnacentral:pre_miRNA from 1 species